GGCAGCUCUCGCGAGAUCUCGCUGCUCGCCGUUGCUGCGCCGCCGUUGCCCCACGGGCGCAGGUCCGGGGCGCUUCCGGGUACGGGGCUCCUAGGCAGCUUCCGCCGGAGGGACGCGGAGCCGAACCGAGCCGUAUAGUACCGAGCCGAGACUUAUCCCGGGGCUGGCCGCCUCAUCGGGCCUUCUCCCUCUUUGUCCACCCCAGCACUCUCUGGAGGUGGUUGAGGAGGCCGCCGUAUGAGAGGGGGUGGAGGUGUCCUUGAAGAACUGAAAGGCUGCAGUACUUACGAGCAUGAGUAUGGGCUGAAACACUCAGGAUAUCCCACAGUAAUGAAGUGAUUCUUUUCCUGGAACAGCACAUAGACUGGGAGAGAUGCUGGAUAGUAAACUCAGUCCUUGGGACUGAUCCUAAGGAACAACCUUAAGGUGAACCUUACUUUGUUUCCUCUUUCUUAACCAUGUGAAGCAGAGCAGUAGAAUGGCCUCACCCAGCCCCCUGGGUAGGGCUCUGUGGCAGUUUGCCCACCUGGCCCUGGCUCUUCUACUGCUCUGCAUUAGCUGUGGGACUGGAGAAUGCUGUGCAAGGCAUUAAGGUUUCAGUCAGAGCCAUUAUGUCUCCAAUAAUCACGAAUGCAUGCUAAAUUUUUGUCAUGUUGAAUAUUACUCAGGAGAGUUUUGCAAGGUAAAUGAUUGUUCAUACGUUGACUUGCUUUAGUAAAAAUAGUCACUAGAGAAAAAAAAUACACAAUGCAACGAAGGAAUAAUAGCUGGGCCAAGUUGAAAGUCAGCUGCAGAAAGCAGUGUAGAAUAGCCUACUGCCAGGUGAUUUUUCCUUAUUUUAUUUUUUGUAGUUCCUUCUUGUCAGCUUGGAGGUGUAAGAACUCUAGCUGAGCAAGCACCUGGGAAGAAAUCACUCCUAUUAGAGGAGUGCCUAACACUGAACAGUACUUUCAUUGCUUCCUGAAUUUUUUUUUUUUUUUUUUUUUUAAUCUCACACUACUGAAACUGACUUCACUUUAGGGCAUUUCAGUUUUCCUUCUUGACUUCUGAUUUCAGACACAUAACAAAGUCUCAAGCUUUCUCUGUUGUUCUGCAUUUUGCUUUUUCGUGAUUUUAUUGAAUUUUGGGACUGGAGCUGCUGCUCUGUUCUCUAUUCUUAAUUCAGUCUCUUGUGCUGAUUUUGUUUCAUCUAUAUUGUAUCAUCUAUAUUUUUAUAUAUAUUCAUAUGUAUAUUUGGCAGGUAUAUCUACAAUACCAUCUUGAACAUCAUUUAUGUGCUUUAGAUACAGCAUUUGUUGUUUUUCCUUAGGGAUUUAAUAGUCUUCUGACUACCUAGUUGCAGUGAGCUAUCUUAUGUACAUACUAAUUAUGUUUCUCUGGAAAACGUGACUUAAAAAUAAACAAAGCCAAAAAACCCCA